rnacentral:tRNA from 1 species
CAUCAGAUAACUUAAAGUAAGUCUAGAUCUUUUAAAUCUAAUAUAGUAUACUCACGCCUACUUCUGAUGA